UCCCUGGUAGCUCAGAUGGUAAAGUGUCUGCCUCCAAUGCGGGAGACCUAGGUUCGAUCCUGGGUUGGGAA
rnacentral:tRNA from 1 species